rnacentral:rRNA from 1 species
UACGUAGGGUGCAAGCGUUAAUCGGAAUUACUGGGCGUAAAGCGUGCGCAGGCGGUUUUGUAAGUCUGUCGUGAAAUCCCCGGGCUCAACCUGGGAAUUGCGAUGGAGACUGCAAGGCUAGAAUCUGGCAGAGGGGGGUAGAAUUCCACGUGUAGCAGUGAAAUGCGUAGAGAUGUGGAGGAACACCGAUGGCGAAGGCAGCCCCCCUGGGUCAAGAUUGACGCUCAUGCACGAAAGCGUGGGGAGCAAAC